UGCUCUGGUAGCCUAGCUUUUAGAGUGUCUGCCUUGGAUGCAGAAUGUCUUGGGUUCAUUCCCAGUUGAGUAA